rnacentral:rRNA from 1 species
GAUGAACGCUGGCGGCGUGCCUAAUACAUGCAAGUCGAGCGAACAGACGAGGAGCUUGCUCCUCUGACGUUAGCGGCGGACGGGUGAGUAACACGUGGAUAACCUACCUAUAAGACUGGGAUAACUUCGGGAAACCGGAGCUAAUACCGGAUAAUAUAUUGAACCGCAUGGUUCAAUAGUGAAAGACGGCUUUGCUGUCACUUAUCGCUGCAUCCGGGCCGCAUUAGCUAGUUGGUAAGGUAACGGCUUACCAAGGCGACGAUGCGUAGCCGACCUGAGAGAGUGAUCGGCCACACGGGAGCUGGGACGCGGUCCAGACGCCUACGGGAGGCAGCAGUAGGGAAUCUGCCGCAGAGGGCGAGAGCCUGACGGAGCAACGCGGCGUGAGUGAUGAAGGUCUUCGGAUCGUAAAGCUCUGUUAUGAGGGAAGAACAAAUGUGGAAGUAACUAUGCACGUCGUGACGGUACCGAAUCAGAAAGCCACGGCUAACUACGUG